rnacentral:rRNA from 1 species
GAUCCUGGCUCAGGAUGAACGCUAGCUACAGGCUUAACACAUGCAGGUCGAGGGGGAACGACAUCGAAAGCUUGCUUUUGAUGGGCGUCGACCGGCGCACGGGUGAGUAACGCGUAUCCAACCUGCCCAUCACUUGGGAAUAACCUUGCGAAAGUAAGACUAAUGCCCAAUGAUAUCCCACGAAGGCAUCCGAAUGGGAUUAAAGAUUUAUCGGUGAUGGAUGGGGAUGCGU